AGUAGUGAUCGGAUUAGAUACCCGAGUAGUCCACGCCGUAAACGAUGAGUGCUAGGUGUUGGAUCCUUUCCGGGAUUCAGUGCCGCAGCUAACGCAUUAAGCACUCCGCCUGGGGAGUACGACCGCAAGGUUGAAACUCAAAGGAAUUGACGGGGGCCCGCACAAGCGGUGGAGCAUGUGGUUUAAUUCGAAGCAACGCGAAGAACCUUACCAGGUCUUGACAUCCCUCUGUAGCUCUAGAGAUAGAGUUCUUCGGGACAAGGUGACAGGUGGUGCAUGGUUGUCGUCAGCUCGUGUCGUGAGAUGUUGGGUUAAGUCCCGCAACGAGCGCAACCCCUAUUGUUAGUUGCCAUCAUUCAGUUGGGCACUCUAGCGAGACUGCCGGUAAUAAACCGGAGGAAGGGGGGACGACGUCAAAUCAUCAUGCCCCUUAUGACCUGGGCUACACGCGUGCUACAAUGGCUGGUACAACGAGUCGCAAGCCGGUGACGGCAAGCUAAUCUCUUAAAGCCAGUCUCAGUUCGGAUUGUAGGCUGCAACUCGCCUACAUGAAGUCGGAAUCGCUAGUAAUCGCGGAUCAGCACGCCGCGGUGAAUACGUUCCCGGGCCUUGCACACACCGCCCGUGCGCUA
rnacentral:rRNA from 1 species